UGGGGUCCUCGUUGGUGAGUGGAUCUUUUGCGGCAUCGAGUGGAGGGUGACAGCGGAGAAGGUGGAGGGAAGCCCGGAAGGAGCGGGUGUGUGCAGUUUGCUUCACCGAUACGGAUUUGAUGUUUGGCGGUAACCAAUAUAAAGAUGUUCAUCUGUCAUUGAGGGUCCAUGUCCAACAUGAGGUUUGAACCCAUCAGCUAGGGAUUGAGAGUUGCAUACUCGACUGACUAAGCCAGUCAGGUACUGU